GGGGGGUUAGCUCAGCUGGGAGAGCACGACGUUCGCAACGUCGGGGUCGGGGGUUCAAAUCCCCUACCCUCCA
rnacentral:tRNA from 1 species